rnacentral:rRNA from 1 species
GAUGAACGCUAGCGGGAGGCCUAACACAUGCAAGCCGAGCGGUAUAGAAUCUUCGGAUUUUAGAGAGCGGCGUACGGUGCGGAACACGUGUGCAACCUACCUUUAUCUGGAGGAUAGCCUUUCGAAGGAAGAUUAAUACUCCAUAAUAUAUUGAUUGGCAUCAAUUAAUAUUGAAAAGCUCCGGCGGAUAGAGAUGGGCACGCGCAAGAUUAGUUAGUUGGUGAGGUAACGGCUCACCAAGACGAUGAUCUUUAGGGGGCCUGAGAGGUGAUCCCCACACUGGUACUGAGACACGGACCAGACUUCCUACGGGAGGCAGCAGUUGAGGAAUAUUGGACAAUAGGGUGGC